UGGGGAAUAUUGCACAAUGGGCGCAAGCCUGAUGCAGCCAUGCCGCGUGUGUGAAGAAGGCCUUCGGGUUGUAAAGUACUUUCAGUCGGGAGGAAGGUGGUAAGGUUAAUAACCUUGGCAAUUGACGUUACCGACAGAAGAAGCACCGGCUAACUCCGUGCCAGCAGCCGCGGUAAUACGGAGGGUGCAAGCGUUAAUCGGAAUUACUGGGCGUAAAGCGCACGCAGGCGGUUGAUUGAGUCAGAUGUGAAAUCCCCGGGCUUAACCCGGGAAUUGCAUCUGAUACUGGUCAGCUAGAGUCUUGUAGAGGGGGGUAGAAUUCCAGGUGUAGCGGUGAAAUGCGUAGAGAUCUGGAGGAAUACCGGUGGCGAAGGCGGCCCCCUGGACGAAGACUGACGCUCAGGUGCGAAAGCGUGGGGAGCAAACAGG
rnacentral:rRNA from 1 species